UGUCGUUCUCACUGCCGCCGCAUCUCCUCGCUGCACACUGUCGUCGCGGCUAACAGCCGCCGCUGCUCUCACAGCCGCCGCGGCUCUCACAUCCGUCGCAGCUCACAACCCCUGCACACCGCCCCUGCACACCUCCCUUACUACCACCGCCCCCUGCACGCCGUCCCUGCUCACAGCCACCGCCCCCUGUGUCGUCUGUCCUCUCUUCAAUAAUUAAUUAGGUAUUAUUUACAUUUAAGAUUGAAUUUUAAUCUUGAUAUUAUUUAGUUGAAUUUUAAUUGUGCAAUUUAAUUAUUAUUGUGGAUAUUUUGAUUGAAUUUUAGUUGUUCAUUUUAGUUGAAUUUUAAGAUUGAAUUAUGAAAGGUGCACACCCGAAAAUAGAAGAACCGGAACAUGGAUAUUGAUGACAGGCAAUAUCUGUCGAAGGAUUGAAGAAUUCCCUACAGACAGACUACAUACAAAAAAUUCUUGGUCUAGGUAUCUGUGCUGACACAAUGAUUGGUGAUGCUAUGAGGAGAGGCAUCUCAGGUGGUCAAAAGAAAAGAUUGACUACAGGUGAGAUGAUUGUUGGGCCGAUUAAGGCGUUCUUUAUGGAUGAAAUUACGAAUGGCUUGGACAGUUCUACUUCAUUUCAGAUUGUUUCAUGUGUUCAACAGUUGGUCCAUGUAACAGAUGCAUCUGCAUUGAUUUUUUUGAGAGCUGUGGUUUUAGGUGUCCUAAGAGGAAGGGAAUAGCUGACUUUCUACAGGAGUUGGUCAUUUUAGCUCUGUAAAAAUGACUGUAUAUAUGCGUACUCGGAUGCAUGUGGACAUUCUUCUUGCUAAUUAUUAUUUGAACGCCCUGUUCUAUGGUCUUAUCGUGCUUCUUACUGACUGAUUUCCAGAAGUGUCUGACUAUCAUGAGACUUCCUGUUUUCUUCAAAAACGUUGUAACUAAAAUAUUAAAAAACGAAUU